CGGUGACGAUAGCAGAGAGGAUCCACCUGUUCCCAUUCCGAACACAGAAGUUAAGCUCUCUUACGCCGAAAGUACUUGAUCGCUCGAUCCGGGAGGAUAGGUAGUUGCCGCCU
rnacentral:rRNA from 1 species